UCGCAGGGUCUGUGGAAAAAGGCACUAAGUAAAUUGAUAACGAACUGUUUCUGGUAUAAUCUAUCCUUUGAAAGAUUAUGGUAGGUGUAGAAUUAAAUCACCAAAAAUCACUGUUCUAUUUCUAAAGUCUGACUAUGGCAGUUUCUCAACCUUUUAGCAUUGGAAUAGAACUUUCAUCACCUACAUUGCAGCAAGAUUAUGGAAAAAAAUGCUGUUUCCAUUCAAGUGCUUUAUUUUUUUCCUCCUAAGCAGUGCCAAGAAUACCUUCCUGUGAAAGACAUGACCAUUUCUGCCACUUUUAGGCUAUUUAUUAAGCACAAAAGCCAGUCAGAGAAGCUGACUAAUGUUAUUUAAAGGACAGCAAUGGAUAUCCACAUUAUGAAUUUUUUAUAUGAUUACCUCUGAAUUCAGGAUUCCACUAGCGAAUCAGGCAUAUUUUUCCUGUAUGUGAUAUUGGCCAUACGUUCUUAUGUUCUGGAAUUACCUGUGGCUUGCAGUGCUCUUCUAUCCAGCUGAAAACACAAGCUGAGAGCUCCUGAAAGCUUGUUACAGAGAUGGAGGCAUUAAAGGACUGGAACAAAGAGUCCAUGAUACCCUGGAAAACGUUGAACUUCACUUGGUCAGAGAUCUGGUUCUUUCCUUCACUGGGAUUGUCCUGGUGAGCUUUAACAAUAUCUUCAUAGUUUCUGAAAUGCAUAUAUGUAGUUAGUUAAUUUAGCAGAAAACAUGUGGAAUAAUCAGAUCUGGAAUAAUAAAUUAUCAUUUUAUAGAAGAAACAUUUCUUAAAGAUAGGAUGGAAGAGUUGUAAUAAUAAAUGAUAAUCAUGUUACAGAGUAAACAUUUCUCAAAGAUAGAAUGCAAUUUACUGUUGAACUAAAAAUAUCUGUCUCCUCCCUUCCUUCCUGUAGGCAUACAUAUUCAAGGUAAUAUAUGUCAGGGUUGGAGACCCCUGACAUAUGUAACAUUCUUUACUAUUUUUCCUGAAAAUCAUAGCCCUGACUGAGCUAAGAAAGUCAAUCUGUGACCUUCCAUAACUGAAGGUAGUUUAAAACAUAGAUCUCCCAGCUCUUAGUUCUAAUACAUCACUUUAUUUUGGGGAGGUCAGCUAGUGAAUCAUGAAUAUACAAAUGCACAAGUCUUACACUUUCAUGAUGUUCAAGGCCAUUACAUCUUUCCGGAGAGUGGAGACCUCUUCCUCUUGUUUCUUUUUUUCUUUGUGCAAGAAUUGAAUAUAAUCAAUAGCUGGGUAGCAGAGAAAGCAACAAUUUAGAAAGGAGCCUUUAAGUUUUUUCAAAGCCCAACCUACAACACCUGGCUAUUCAGGUAUUUCUAAACUCAAGUUACAUUAAAGGUGCCAUUCCACUCCCUAGAACCGGGAUGGCGAACCUGUGGCAUGCGUAGCCAUAUCGGUGGGCACAUGAGCAUUGCCCUAGCUCAGCUCCGACAUGCAUGCAUGCACCGGCCAACUGAUUUUUGGCCCUUCCCAGCCUAUCAGAAGUCAGGAACAAGCUGUUUCUAGCCUCCAGAGGGCCUUGGGGGUGGGGAGGGCUGUUUUCGCCCUCCCCAGGCUCCAAGAAAGCCUCUGGAGCCAGGGGAAGGUGAAAAACGGUCCUACUGGGCCCACUGUGCCAUUGUGUACCAAAAGCCGGGGGAAACGUAUUGGGGUACAUUGAAUUAUAGGUGUGGGCACGCACACACACGACCCCCCUAUGCUCCCCCCCCUCUUUUGGCACCCAACAGCAAAAAGAUUAGCCAUCACUGCCCUAGAAUGAAGACAGAGUUAAAUAGAUUCACAAACACUAAGACUAACAAGUUUUGGAGAACCAUGUUAAGUGUAUGAUGGCAAUAAAGUAAGUGUUCUACCUAUACGUUUUAUAACUUUUUUUUUUAAAGAUGUAAAUUUUAGUUAAAAAGCAUAAGCUUUCAUCAGCUGCAGGUCACUAGCAAAUGCCGAGAGUGGUUAAACUGACAAAAGAUUUAAACUAGAAUUGAGCAACUGCUAGCUCAAUAGUAGUCUUUUUGGAAAUCAGACACAUUUUCAAAGCUGUCACAUAUAAUCUGCAUAGCCUCUCCCUCCCCUAUCUCUGCAACAAUCUAGCCACUAUAUAUCUCCUACAAAAUGGAUUACAGAGCUCAUGAAAAUUUACACCUUUUAUUAAAAUAUUUUAAUCAGAAAAGUGAUUAUUCUACUCCAUUUUAUUCAAUUUGUUAGAAUACAGUAGUAAGAUUCAGCUAUUUACAGAAUUUAAUAGUUAUAUAAUGCAAACUCUGAAAUUUGUACAAAUUUCUGGGAAACUUAUAAUGGGUAAAUGAUCGGCCAAGAAACAGAUAAUCUUGGGAGCCCUACUCACUCUUCUGCAGCACAAUCGCCUUGCUUAGCUUCUGGGAGCCUAUUGAGAAAUCUUGCUGCUGGCAUGUGGGUACAAUUGCUUGCAAAUCAUCAUAACCUUUCUGUUAGAAAAACAAAAACAUUACAACUCACUUAUCAAAUCUGCCACGUACGACAAGAAAAUUAUAAACAAGUAGUAGAAUCUGGUCAGUAAAUCUAUUCCUUUACCUGUUCUUCCAAAGUGGAAGCUUUGUAAAUUCCUUGUAAGGAAUUUGAAAUGCAAUAAAUAGCAAGCACACAUA